rnacentral:rRNA from 1 species
GACGAACGCUGGCGGCGUGCUUAACACAUGCAAGUCGAACGGAAAGGCCCUGCUUUUGUGGGGUGCUCGAGUGGCGAACGGGUGAGUAACACGUGAGUAACCUGCCCUUGACUUUGGGAUAACUUCAGGAAACUGGGGCUAAUACCGGAUAGGAGCUCCUGCUGCAUGGUGGGGGUUAGAAAGUUUCGGCGGUUGGGGAUGGACUCGCGGCUUAUCAGCUUGUUGGUGGGGUAGUGGCUUACCAAGGCUUUGACGGGUAGCCGGCCUGAGAGGGUGACCGGCCACACUGGGACUGAGAUACGGCCCAGACUCCUACGGGAGGCAGCAGUGGGGAAUAUUGCACAAUGGGCGGAAGCCUGAUGCAGCAACGCCGCGUGCGGGAUGACGGCCUUCGGGUUGUAAACCGCUUUCGCCUGUGACGAAGCGUGAGUGACGGUAAUGGGUAAAGAAGCACCGGCUAACUACGUG